ACAUUCCACAGGGCAGCCGGUUACAGUAAGAGAACCCCUGAACUGCUCUUAAGUUCCUCCUGGAAAAGAUCUCCCUAGAGGGUUGCGCAAGUGCGUGAAAAGUGGAAGGCGGCCCGGGCGCAAUGCCUGCUCCCGUGAUGCCGCGGGGCGACCAAUGGAGACGGCUCCUCCCGCCCGCCGGCCCGGCCCCGGGAGCGCUUGAAUUUCCUGUGGCCACGUCUGAGUUGGAUAUAUCUACUGAGAAGAUAGAAGACUUACUUUCAUCAUCUGACUCAAAUCCAAAGAGUGUCUGACAUUUCUUUUGUGCAAGAUCUUUCAAUAUGUUGUUUCCUAAGACCUACUUAUACAACUUCACUGAGGAACUGAGCCUAAGUGCCUUCUCUCCAGACAAACAUACAGAUGACAAGGAUGAAGACCUUUAUGAUGAUCCACUGC